UAGGGAAUAUUCCGCAAUUAGCGAAAACUAGCUGGAGCGACACAGCGUACACGAUGAAGUUGUUAAGGUNUGUAAAGUGAGAAGGCAAGGGAAGAGAAAGUAGAUGAGGAAAUGCUUCUACAUCGACGCUGCAAGGUUAGAAAGCGAUGGCGACAUCUGUGCCAGCAGCCGCGGUAAUACAUAGGUCGCCAGCGUUAUCCGGAAUUAAAGGGAGUAAAGCGUUCGUAGGAAGUUUAUUAAGUCUGGAGUCAAAUCCCAGGGCUCAACCUUGGCUAGCUUUGGAUACUGGUAACAAGGAGGGGGAUAGAAGUAACCGGAAUUCCAUGUGAAGCGGUGAAAUGCGUAGAUAUAUGGAAGAACGCCAAAGGCGAAGGCAGCUUACUGGGUUUAUAGGACGCUGAGGAACGAAAGCGUGGGGAGCAAACAGGAUUAGAUACCCUGGUAGUCCACGCCGUAAACGAUGAUCAUUAGUCGGCAGAGAACUGUUGACGCAGCUAACGCAUUAAACGAUCCGCCUGAGUAGUAUGCUCGCAAGAGUA
rnacentral:rRNA from 1 species